UGUGUGUGUGUGUGCAUGUGUGUUUGCAAAACUAGUCCUCAAGAUUCUCAUUCCUGGCACAGUUCAACAGGCAUAGGAAAAAUGGGUUAACCACCAAACCACUAAGAGGCAUCCAUCUCAUAUCUGUCCCUCUGGUCCCCAAGCAUUCAUCCAGAGUAAUAAGAAUAUCCUGAAGCUUGCACAGUUAUUCUUAUUUGACGAGUCUGGAAUUCUUUAUUUUUUUUUCUCCUUAAAAAUCAAAGGAAUCCUGCAGAUGCUGACAUUAAACAUACUGAUGGGAAUUAUGAUCAUAUGUCAGAAAAAUAUAUAAGUCCUUUGGGCUCUGUAAGAAGCUGACAGCAUUCCCAUAAAAUAUUAACUACUCACAAUAAAAUCCCUUCACAAGGAGUGAGAGGUUAGUAGAAAGAAUCUGGAAGCCCUCAACAAUGAAUUUUGAUUAACCGGGUGACUUGAAUUCCCUUGUCCUAGUUGUUUUCAGGUUUUACAUAGUUGGAUAAAAAUGUGUGGAAAUCACUACCAUAUAUUCAUUUAGCAAAUAUUUGGAAAAUAUAAAAAAUGUUAAAUUCCUCUUCCCAAAGGAAUACAUGAAUAAUAAAUCGAUAAUAGUAAAUUUGGCAAAAUGGGGAGAAGGUGAAGCACUGUCUGUUCCACUAACUCCUGGCAAAGUGAAGAGAUUUGUCACCUUGGUGACUGUCCCUUAGGCAAGAGUACAUCGAGGUACCAGAGAAGAGGCAGGAGUGACCAAAUCUCCCAUCUGACAGGUCAUGUACCCAUAGAAAAUGGCUCCUCAAGAUGAGACAGCCACUUAAAGUUUCCAAAAACUGCUCAAGCAUAGCCAUUCAUUAAGAAUUUGAAUUUUGAUGGAAACAGAUCUAAUAGGUUUUCUUUUACUUCUGCUGUUUGUAAGUAAAACUGCCAUUGAAGGAGGGUGAAUCUACUCCGUCAAGCCCCUUAAUGGGAUAAGAUGUCCAAAUUUAGAAAAGAAAAUUGAAAUUGAAAAAUGAUGAUAUGCUUUUCAUAACUGAAGGACAGAUGAGUGCUCUGAAAUUUAGUCCUAGAGCAAUAUUCUAGCAGAGGCUAGUGGGAAGAAAAGCAAAGGUAAACGGUACUGCAAUUCCCCAAAAUUUCCAAUAUAAUUGGCCAAGCUCAUGAAUGCUUCAUGGGAGAGAUUUUCAAUGGUGAAAAUUUUAAAAGGAGACUAACUUCAUAUCACACAUUUUGUGAUGUGAGCCAAAGCAACAUUCCAAGACGAAGCCUGUGCUACCAUUUCUAUCCUCCACUUUGGACUGGCUGAGAUUGUUAGACAUUUGGGGCUUUACUCAGGCUAUAGUGUUUCGGAGUUCAACGCAAAACCACAUGGACAUCAAGAAGCAGG